GGAGCUGGGGACAGCCGGGCCCGAUGCUCCAGCUUCGGCAAGGCCGCCGGAGGAAGACGGCGCCUGGGUGACUUGCUCUGCUCAUUCGAGGGGGCAGGCGGGCACCAGCAAUUCUCCAGGGAGCUGCCGCUUUAAGGGGAGGGGCCGGAGCCGGGAAGCUGCCAGAAGUUUCUGGCUGCACGAACCAACCCCGAGCGCAGCCGUCCACCCUCGCUCUCUCUCCGAAGGCGCCCAGGGCUUCGGCAGAUUAAGCGCGGAUUGCCGUAAACUAAAUUUGUCCCCUUAAGGCGAUUGCCGGGUAAAUCUGCACGCAGGGCUUCCUGGGAGCCUGCCGCUGCUGCAGGCGGGCACGGACCACCAGCACUGCCAGCUCCCGGGAUCCGGGAAAACGUGCGAGCGGUGCCCGCGGCCCUGCAGUACAGCUCCUCCGGGACGCCGCUGGAAUGCGCCUGGCGUUGAGUAUCCUAAAUCAUCGGCCAAAUUACUAUGAAAAAAAGUUCCGGCGCUGUCUUGGACUUGGUGCACCAUGAUGUGGCCCAGCAGGCUUGUACCGACUUUCAAGUCUGCCAAAUGGGGGUAAUGCACACCUUACUCAAAGGCAAGUCUCUUGUUCUGUACUGCUGAAUGACUACAUGAAGAAAAUAUAUUUUGAAUGCCUGCUCCCUCUGUUUAUCCCCCUA